rnacentral:tRNA from 1 species
GGGGACUUAGCUUAGUUGGUAGAGCGCCUGCUUUGCACGCAGGAGG